GAGGCUGGGCGGAGCCGGAGUUCAGGCCCCGCCCCGCGCAGGCUCCACCCCGGCCCCGCCCCGCGCCCUAAAGCAGCUAGAUGGGAUGUCCGGGCGCCCUGCUACAUGGAUUUUUGAAUCGGGCCGAUUUAGGCCCUCCUGGCUUUGCUUCCACCUCGCUGUGUGACCUAGGGUCGCAUUCAUCCUUACACCCCAACUUCCAGUUCAGUGCUUGACAUACAGCAGGAGCUCAAUAAAUGCCCGCUCCUUCAUUCCAUCUGUCCGACCGACGGGCCGAGCGGCAGCGGGCUCAGUACUGCAACCGGCCAGCAGAGGGCAGGCGGUGACCAGCUUUCUGGCCCAGCUGACCGUCCUCUCCGCCAGCAGGCGCCACGGGAGGGGACAGGUGAACCUAGGUGCGCCGACUUCUGAAGAAUCCGUGGGCCCGCGAGCCACGGCCGAGGCGUCAGGCUAGGGCACGACCUUGCCCUUCGGAUCUGUAGCUCGCGGCCUGACCUGGAUCAGAGACCCCUCUGCCAAUCUGUAUGGAUGUACGGAUCCUGCAAAGAUGCACUGAGAAGAAUCUGGAGGAAUCCCUCAAGCGGGCCUGGGAAGAAAGGAGAGGUCCAAGAUUAUGGCUACACAGGCCGCAGUCACUCUUCGAAACUCCAUUUUCUCAUCUGCAAAACGGAGAGAACACCUGCCUUACCACCGUAUUGUGACGAUUAAGCAGGUUGAACUACA